rnacentral:rRNA from 1 species
UGGGAAUUUGGACAAUGGGCGAAGCUGAUCCAGCAAUGCCGCGUGUGUGAAGAAGGCCUUCGGGUUGUAAAGCACUUUUGUCCGGAAAGAAAUCCUUGGCUCUAAUACAGUCGGGGGAUGACGGUACCGGAAGAAUAAGCACCGGCUAACUACGUGCCAGCAGCCGCGGUAAUACGUAGGGUGCAAGCGUUAAUCGGAAUUACUGGGCGUAAAGCGUGCGCAGGCGGUUUGCUAAGACCGAUGUGAAAUCCCCGGGCUCAACCUGGGAACUGCAUUGGUGACUGGCAGGCUAGAGUAUGGCAGAGGGGGGUAGAAUUCCACGUGUAGCAGUGAAAUGCGUAGAGAUGUGGAGGAAUACCGAUGGCGAAGGCAGCCCCCUGGGCAAUACUGACGCUCAUGCACGAAAGCGUGGGGAGCAAACAGGAUU